rnacentral:rRNA from 1 species
AGCGAACGCUGGCGGCAGGCCUAACACAUGCAAGUCGAACGAAGCCUUCGGGCUUAGUGGCGGACGGGUGAGUAACACGUGGGAACGUACCUUUUGGUUCGGAACAACUCAGGGAAACUUGAGCUAAUACCGGAUGAGCCCUUAGGGGGAGAGAUUUAUCGCAGAAAGAGCGGCCCGCGUUAGAUUAGCUAGUUGGUGAGGUACAGGCUCACCAAGGCAACGAUCUAUAGCUGGUCUGAGAGGAUGAUCAGCCACACUGGGACUGAGACACGGCCCAGACUCCUACGGGAGGCAGCAGUGGGGAAUCUUGCGCAAUGGGCGAAAGCCUGACGCAGCCAUGCCGCGUGAAUGAUGAAGGUCUUAGGAUUGUAAAAUUCUUUUACCAGGGACGAUAAUGACGGUACCUGGAGAAAAAGCCCCGGCUAACUUCGUGCCAGCAGCCGCAGUAAGAC